GGGGAAUCUUGCGCAAUGGGCGGAAGCCUGACGCAGCGACGCCGCGUGGGGGAUGACGGCCUUCGGGUUGUAAACCUCUUUCGACCGGGACGAAGCGUGAGUGACGGUACCGGUAGAAGAAGCGCCGGCCAACUACGUGCCAGCAGCCGCGGUAAGACGUAGGGCGCGGGCGUUGUCCGGAUUUAUUGGGCGUAAAGAGCUCGUAGGCGGCUUGUCGCGUCGUCUGUGAAAACCCGCGGCUCAACUGUGGGCUUGCAGGCGAUACGGGCAGGCUGGAGUUCGGUAGGGGAGACUGGAAUUCCUGGUGUAGCGGUGAAAUGCGCAGAUAUCAGGAGGAACACCGGUGGCGAAGGCGGGUCUCUGGGCCGAUACUGACGCUGAGGAGCGAAAGCGUGGGGAGCGAA
rnacentral:rRNA from 1 species